GAUGAAGAACGUAGCGAAACGCGAUACGUAAUGUGAAUUGCAGAAUUCAGUGAAUCAUCGAAUCUUUGAACGCACCUUGCGCCCCUCGGCAUUCCGAGGGGCAUGCCUGUUCGAGCGUCAUUUCACCACUCAAGCCUGGCUUGGUGUUGGGCGACGUCCUCUUUGGGGACGCGCCUCGAAACGCUCGGCGGCGUGGCACCGGCUUUAAGCGUAGCAGAAUCUUUCGCUUUGGAAGUCGGGGCCCCGUCUGCCGGAAGACCUGCUCGCAAGGUUGACCUCGGAUCAGGCAGGGAUACCCGCUGAACUUAAGCAUAUCAAUAAGCGGAGGA
rnacentral:misc_RNA from 1 species